GAACGCUGGCGGCAUGCCUUACACAUGCAAGUCGAACGGUAACAGGUCUUCGGAUGCUGACGAGUGGCGAACGGGUGAGUAAUACAUCGGAACGUGCCUAGUAGUGGGGGAUAACUACUCGAAAGAGUAGCUAAUACCGCAUGAGAUCUACGGAUGAAAGCAGGGGAUCGCAAGACCUUGUGCUACUAGAGCGGCUGAUGGCAGAUUAGGUAGUUGGUGGGAUAAAAGCUUACCAAGCCGACGAUCUGUAGCUGGUCUGAGAGGACGAUCAGCCACACUGGGACUGAGACACGGCCCAGACUCCUACGGGAGGCAGCAGUGGGGAAUUUUGGACAAUGGGCGAAAGCCUGAUCCAGCAAUGCCGCGUGCAGGAUGAAGGCCUUCGGGUUGUAAACUGCUUUUGUACGGAACGAAAAGCUUUGGGUUAAUACCCUGGAGUCAUGACGGUACCGUAAGAAUAAGCACCGGCUAACUACGUGCCAGCAGCCGCGGUAAUACGUAGGGUGCAAGCGUUAAUCGGAAUUACUGGGCGUAAAGCGUGCGCAGGCGGUUUUGUAAGACAGAGGUGAAAUCCCCGGGCUCAACCUGGGAACUGCCUUUGUGACUGCAAGGCUAGAGUACGGCAGAGGGGGGUGGAAUUCCGCGUGUAGCAGUGAAAUGCGUAGAUAUGCGGAGGAACACCGAUGGCGAAGGCAACCCCCUGGGCCUGUACUGACGCUC
rnacentral:rRNA from 1 species